rnacentral:rRNA from 2 species
CUGGCGGCAGGCCUAACACAUGCAAGUCGAGCGGCAGCGGGUCCUUCGGGAUGCCGGCGAGCGGCGGACGGGUGAGCAAUGCCUAGGAAUCUGCCUGGUAGUGGGGGAUAACUCGGGGAAACUCGAGCUAAUACCGCAUACGUCCUACGGGAGAAAGCGGGGGAUCUUCGGACCUCGCGCUACCAGAUGAGCCUAGGCCGGAUUAGCUAGUUGGUGAGGUAAAGGCUCACCAAGGCGACGAUCCGUAGCUGGUCUGAGAGGAUGAUCAGCCACACUGGAACUGAGACACGGUCCAGACUCCUACGGGAGGCAGCAGUGGGGAAUAUUGGACAAUGGGCGAAAGCCUGAUCCAGCCAUGCCGCGUGUGUGAAGAAGGCCUUCGGAUUGUAAAGCACUUUAAGUUGGGAGGAAGGGCAGCAAGUUAAUACCUUGCUGUUUUUACGUUACCGACAGAAUAAGCACCGGCUAACUUCGUGCCAGCAGCCGCGGUA